rnacentral:rRNA from 1 species
AUUGAACGCUGGCGGCAUGCCUUACACAUGCAAGUCGAACGGUAACAGGUCUUCGGAUGCUGACGAGUGGCGAACGGGUGAGUAAUACAUCGGAACGUGCCCGAUCGUGGGGGAUAACUACUCGAAAGAGUAGCUAAUACCGCAUACGAUCUACGGAUAAAAGCGGGGGAUCUUCGGACCUCGUGCGGACGGAGCGGCCGAUGGCAGAUUAGGUAGUUGGUGGGAUAAAAGCUUACCAAGCCGACGAUCUGUAGCUGGUCUGAGAGGACGACCAGCCACACUGGGACUGAGACACGGCCCAGACUCCUACGGGAGGCAGCAGUGGGGAAUUUUGGACAAUGGGCGAAAGCCUGAUCCAGCAAUGCCGCGUGCAGGAUGAAGGCCUUCGGGUUGUAAACUGCUUUUGUACGGAACGAAAAGACUCCUUCUAAUACAGGGGGUCCAUGACGGUACCGUAAGAAUAAGCACCGGCUAACUACGUGCCAGCCGCCGCCGUAACAC